UCUCAACAAGGGACCCGGUGAAACUGAAUUGUCUGUGAAUAUGCAGGCUACCCGCGGCAGGACGGAAACUCCCCGGGAGCUUUACUGCAGCCAGCUAUUCUGUACACGCUCUCCGUGUUUAGUAUAGGUGGGAGCUUUCUAAACAUUAUGUAUAGCGCCGGUGAAAUACCACUCUCGGUUCGGCGUGUACAGUAACCCGGAAGCCCUAGCAGGCAGGGGACAGUGGCCGGUAGGCAGUUUUGCUUGGUCGGCACCCUCCUAAAAGGUAACGGAGGGGUCCAAAGGUCUCCUCAGCACGGUUGGCAACCGUGUGUUGAGCAUAAAGGUAUAAGGAGGCCUGACUGGUAGAGCGGCAGCUCAAGCAGGGACGAAAGUCGGGCUUAAUGACGCGGUGUUUGCAUGUGGACGCGGCACCGCUUCAACGGAUAAAAGUUCCCCGGGAAUACAGGGCCAAUCUCCCCUGAGAGGCCAUAUUGGCGGGGAGGUUUGGUGCCUCGUUGCCGGCUCAUCGCAUCCUGGGGCUGAAGCUGGUCCCAAGGGUUGGGUUAGUAGCCCAUUAAAGCGGUUUGUUAGCUGGAUGAAGAACAUCGUAAGAUAGUUCAUAGCCUAUCCGCCGUGGGCGCAGGAGACUUGAGAGGGGCUGCCCCUAUUACGAGAGGACCGGGGCGGGCCGGCCUAUGGCGUACCGGUUGUUCCGCCAGGAGCAUAGCCGGGUAACUACGCCGGUAAGCGAUAAGCGCUGAAUGCAUAUAAGCGCGAAACGCGCCUCAAGAUAAGGUUUCCCUAUCAGGCUCCGGGUAGACUACCCGGUUGAUAGGCCGGAGGUGUAAGGACUGAAAGGUCUUUAGCUUACCGGUACUAAAUGUCCGAGAG
rnacentral:rRNA from 1 species